AUGGAAUAGUGAAAUAUCGCUGUGUUACCAUGUUUGUAUUACGGUCAGUCAGUUCCUCGCUAUCUGAGCAGCUGGAAAUAAUUCCGUUACCGGGUGAUCUUUCUAUUGGAAUUGGUGUCGUGAUAGAUGGUCUACGUUGAGAUGUGACGACUUUCCCAGGCUCAGCAAAGAUCUGUGACAUCUGUACCAUUUCAUGAAGCAAACGACGCUUGAGAAACGUGAAAAUUCUCCAUCCAAUUGGUUUCUAAAACUACUCAAAACUGGACUAUUUCCCAAUGUUGGCUUAACAAGGUGAAGUAUUUUGUCUUCUGUACAAAGGCUAUCAAAAUUGUAUGUUUUUAAACCAUUUUUUUUUUUCCUCCACCCCUACAGGGGCGGUGCCCCUGUAGGAGUGGAGGCCCCUCUCAUGCCUUGUACCGAUAGGUCGGGCAAGGCGCGAGAGGUUUGUUUUUUAGGUUGAAAAUUUAUCACUAUAUUUUUAGCAUUAACGUACCUUGACUUUAUACUUUGUUUUAGAGAAAUAAAGUAACGUAACGAUUAAGAAUUAUUUAUAAUUGCUGUUACCAGUGAAGACCUUAUGGCUUACUUUGCAAUGAGUUUUAUAUAAGUACAAUAGUUAACGUCAUCUUGUAAGUAUUUCUUGAGACUUUAGUAAAUGUAUUUAAACUUUUAAGAUCUCAAUUUCCUAAAUCAACAAGAAAUUGAGAUUUAUUAGAUAUAGUUGCUGUUAGUUUGAAAUCUUAAACUUUGCGAUACAUGUGCUGAUCAUGCAAUGAAUAGUACUUUUCUUUUCUUUAAUACAUUAGACAUACACUGUUUAAUACAAUCGGCGAGUGAUGCCAUAGCGUGCUAUGGUUUGAGGUAGUUUCUUUGGGUGGUCAUUCAAAUGUUAACGCCUUUUGGUGCCUCCCGUUCCUUGGUUUGUUUUCUUUAGUUUUGGUCAAAAGGUUUUUUGAGACGUUGGUUGGUUUAUACAUUAACAAAUUGGAGCUAAGCCUUCAGUUCAUUUAAGUAAAUAAAACCUGGUAUCUUACAGUUCAUUUAAGUAUAAUAAUUUUAUUUUUCUUAAUUUAUAAUAAGUACAAACUUUUCUGCCGUAGAUUUUUUCCUUUAGGUUGUCGACUGGAAUAGCCGAGACCCAGUUAUUCAAGUACUUUGGUGUUCGGUGCUUUUACAACACUAUUUAGAGGUGAAACAGGAGCUUGGCGUUGCUGAUAUACUACACUUGUGCCAAAAGUUUUCAUGCUUGGAUUAAAAUCUGUAA